ACCAGACUCCUACGGGAGGCAGCAGUGGGGGAUAUUGCACAAUGGGGGGAACCCUGAUGCAGCGACGCCGCGUGGGUGAAGAAGUAUUUCGGUAUGUAAAGCCCUAUCGGCAGGGAAGAAAUUGGACGGUACCUGACUAAGAAGCCCCGGCUAACUACGUGCCGGCAGCCGCGGUAAUACGUAGGGGGCAAGCGUUAUCCGGAUUCACUGGGUGUAAAGGGAGCGUAGACGGCCAUGCAAGCCCGGAGUGAAAGCCCGGGGCCCAACCCCGGGACUGCUCUGGGAACUGUGCGGCUGGAGUGCGGGAGGGGCAGGCGGAAUUCCUGGUGUAGCGGUGAAAUGCGUAGAUAUCAGGAGGAACACCGGCGGCGAAGGCGGCCUGCUGGACCGCGACUGACGUUGAGGCUCGAAAGCGUGGGGAGCAAACAGGAUUAGAUACCCCGGUAU
rnacentral:rRNA from 1 species